CGCGCAGGCGGUUCUGUAAGUCAGGUGUGAAAGCCCGGGGCUCAACCCCGGAAGUGCACUUGAAACUAUGGGACUUGAGUAUGGGAGAGGGAAGUGGAAUUCCUGGUGUAGCGGUGAAAUGCGUAGAUAUCAGGAGGAACAUCGGUGGCGAAGGCGACUUCCUGGACCAAUACUGACGCUGAGGCGCGAAGGCGUGGGGAGCAAACA
rnacentral:rRNA from 1 species